rnacentral:sRNA from 1 species
GCUGGGCGCAGUGGUGCACGCCUGUAAUCACAUCGGCUCCAGAGGCUGAGACAGGAGGAUCAUGAGGUCACACCAGUCUCCGCAAAAGCGAGGCCCUAAGCAACUCAGUGAGACCCUGUCUCUA